AGCUUUGCGCAGAGGCAGUGUCGCAUCCAAUGAAGUUCUAACUGAGGAGCGACUAUUGCUAGUUGAAAACUUUUCCCAAUACCCCGCCUGGACGACGUGCAAUACCGUCGGCCGUGGCAAUUUUUGGAAGGCCUUCACGGGC
rnacentral:snRNA from 1 species